AGCGAACGCUGGCGGUAGGCCUAACACAUGCAAGUCGAACGGCAGCACCGUAAGAGCUUGCUCUUACGGGCGGCGCGUGGCGGACGGGUGCGGUAUACAUCGGAAUCUACUUUUUCGUGGGGGAUAACGUAGGGAAACGUACGCUAAUACCGCAUACGACCUCCGGGUGUAAGCCGGCGAUCUUCGGACCUUGCGCGAUUGUAUGAGCCGAUGUUGGAUUAGCUAGAUGGCGGGGGAAAGGCGUAGCAAGGCUACGAUCCGUAGCGGCUAUGAGGGGAUGGAUAGCCACAUGGGAAGUGAGGAUCGUCCGAGACUCUGACGGGAAGCAGCGGUGGGGAAUAUUGGGCAAGGGAGGCAAGCCGGAUCCAGCCAUACCGCGUAGGCGAAGAAGGCCUUCGGCUUGUAGAGCCCUUUUGUUGUGAGAGAAAAGCAGCAGUUUAAUACCCCACGAUACUGACGGUACCCAAAGAAUAAGCACCGGCUAACUUCGUG
rnacentral:rRNA from 1 species